UACGUAGGGUGCGAGCGUUGUCCGGAAUUACUGGGCGUAAAGAGCUCGUAGGUGGUUUGUCGCGUUGUUCGUGAAAACUCACAACUCAAUUGUGGGCGUGCGGGCGAUACGGGCAGACUAGAGUACUGCAGGGGAGACUGGAAUUCCUGGUGUAGCGGUGGAAUGCGCAGAUAUCAGGAGGAACACCGGUGGCGAAGGCGGGUCUCUGGGCAGUAACUGACGCUGGAGGAGCGAAAGCCGUGGGGAGCGAACAGG
rnacentral:rRNA from 1 species